rnacentral:misc_RNA from 1 species
UUUGAAAAUAAAAAAAUAUUAUAAAAUGUCACAUUUAUUUUUAACAAAAAAUAGAAGGUGAAAAAAAUGUGUAAAUCACCGCUUAAGAUUAAACACUUGGCCUAAGUCAAAUUAAGCGGUCGAUUAUGAAUAUUCAAGUCUUUGUUUCACAACUUUUUCCCAUUUUUUCUCGGCAACCAAACAGGAUGACACAUAAAAGUAAGUUUUUGAGAAAUCUACAUUUGAUUUUACAUCAUCAUUGCUUUGCCUCGGAGACGGCUUUUUCACAGUUUAGACUCUAUAAAACUACAUUUCUAUAUUUAAAAAAAAAAAAAAAAAGGUAAUCAUACAGGCAAUCAGAACCCAGUUCAAGCGUCAUCAUCAGCAGCAGCAUCAUCUCCAGAUGAUAAAGAUGCAGUUUUUGCUGUCGACAAUGGCGAUGAAGAUGAUGAGGUCGAAUUUUCACAGAACUCAAAGUCAUUAGUUUCCUUUCUCUCCACCACAAAAUGCCCCAAUGAAUCGACCGUCUCCGCCAAAUUCUCUUCACAUAAGAACUCCUCGCUAAAGACCCUCUCUACUUCCCUAUCAAUCUCAUGCACAAACACAUGCGUCUUCUUCUCACCUCCUCUCUUGCUCCUAGCCAUCACAGCAGCAGUAAAUAUCGGGGACAUCCUCCCUGGUGCCCCCGCGAAAUACCCACGAGGCCCAUCGAUCAGAAUCACAUCCCAGGCAACUUCAUAGAUGUGAUUCGGCAUUUCGUUUAUGCCAAGCUUGCAAUCCGAGAACAACAAAUUCUGUACAGGCCUACACUCACCUUUAACUUGUUCUUUUGUAGCAGAGAGAAGCUCCGCCAUUUCGCUUACUUUGGUGGUGUAUUGAAUAUCAUAAGCUUCGAUUUCUGGGUGGUUCUUCUCAAAGUUCGACACAAAAUACUCACUCUCGUCGAGGAAGAUUGUGCGGCCAUGGAAAUUGAGUGAUUUCCACAAAAGGGUCUCGUGGGUUAAGCCAAAAAUGAGGAAGUUACAAGGAGAACAGUGGUGUAAGGCGGAGGCAAUAGCGGAGAGCUCAGCAGAGGACAUAUGAGGAGUUGUGGAGUUGGUUGUAGAAGCAUAAUGGAGUAGAGCAGUAGCGACAGAGAGUGGGAGGGAGGAGGAAGAAGCGGAAGGGGAAGCAGCGGUGGUGACGGAGGGAAUAGUGGAGGAGAAGAGAGUGAGAGUGAAAGCUAAGGUAAGGAAAGUGACGAUAAAGAGCAACCAGAGACGAUGAGAGGAAGGUGAUUUGUGGAUGGAAGGGUGGAGAAGAAUGAGCUUAGUGUUGGUGUUGCUCUUCAUUUUCUGAGAGAGAAAAUGAGAGAGAUGGGAUUUGCAGUUUGAAGAAGGAAGUUAGGAAGUAAAGGUGCUCACU